rnacentral:lncRNA from 1 species
UGUUUAUAGGCACCGUAAUUACAAUAGACUAUACAGAAGCGGAAAGGUUCUUGUAUUUUGACUGUAAAAUAUUUAUUAUAGAGAAAUUAACAUACCCCAUGAUCCUAUUGCAUCACUAUUAUCUGGCGCAGAUACCAGCUUCUGUUUUUCCACUGAUGAAGAAUCAUUCGAGGUUUGAGGGUAAUCCCAUUGCGAUUUCCCAGUUUUGCCGUUUGUGUAGAAAUACCUCUUGUAAGUGCUGGCAAAAGAGAAAAAAAAAACAAAAGAAAAAAUGAGUAACUGCGGACAGACUGGAGAAGAAAAAAAACAAAGAAAAUAUACAAUAUUAACACAUAUAGAAACAAAUAUAUAAUAUUAACACAUAUAGAAAUUAACUAAUCUAACGAAUAUCAUAGCUGGAUAAGAAAAUUGAAGAUAACCUAUGCAUUACAUGCCCAUGGGGAUGUUGAAUUCCUUUGAAGCUGGUAAGUUUCAAUCGAAUUCAAAUCCAACUCGGUACAGCAUAAUAAUUUUGGAUCUGUUCAAAGGCUAGGCAGUGCUAUCCAUUGGAUAGUAUUUACCUGGGGCCGGUUGUAUCAAGCCCGUUUAGCAUAAACGGUGGUUAAGCUCCAAAUAGAAAGCAAGUCUAUAGAUUCAUUCAACAACCAAACUAAAAGUAUUGAACCUUAAUAGAACGAUAAUGUUUACAACUACAUAUUUAGUGCACAAUAUUUAAGUUGACUGAUUCACGAGAGAG